rnacentral:SRP_RNA from 1 species
GCUGGGCAUGGUGGUGCGUGCCUGUAAUCCCAGCUAUUUGGGAGGCUGAGGCAGGAGAAUCGCUUGAACCUGGGAGGCAGAGGUUGCAGUGAGCCGAGAUCGUGCCACUGCACUCCAGCCUAGGCAACAGAGCGAGACUCCGUCUCAA